rnacentral:rRNA from 1 species
UACGUAGGGUGCAAGCGUUUGUCCGGAAUUAUUGGGCGUAAAGAGCUUGUAGGCGGUUUUGUCGCGUCUGCUGUGAAAUUUCGGGGCUCAACCCCGAACUUGCAGUGGGUACGGGCAGGCUGGAGUUCGGUAGGGGAGACUGGAAUUCCUGGUGUAGCGGUGAAAUGCGCAGAUAUCAGGAGGAACACCGGUGGCGAAGGCGGGUCUCUGGGCCGAUACUGACGCUGAGGAGCGAAAGCGUGGGGGAGCGAACAGG